rnacentral:rRNA from 1 species
CAGUCGCCACGGGAAUACGGAGGGUGCAAGCGUUAAUCGGAAUUACUGGGCGUAAAGCGCACGCAGGCGGUCUGUCAAGUCAGAUGUGAAAUCCCCGGGCUUAACCUGGGAACUGCAUUUGAAACUGGCAGGCUAGAGUCUUGUAGAGGGGGGUAGAAUUCCAGGUGUAGCGGUGAAAUGCGUAGAGAUCUGGAGGAAUACCGGUGGCGAAGGCGGCCCCCUGGACAAAGACUGACGCUCAGGUGCGAAAGCGUGGGGAGCAAACAGGAUUAGAUACCCCAGUAGUCCCUGUCUCUUAUAA